AACUUUUAACAACGGAUCUCUUGGUUCUGGCAACGAUGAAGAACGCCGCGAAAUGCGAUAAGUAAUGUGAAUUGCAGAAUUCAGUGAAUCAUCGAAUCUUUGAACGCACCUUGCGCUCCUUGGUAUUCCGAGGAGCAUGCCUGUUUGAGUGUCAUUAAAUUCUCAACCUUUAUCAUUGAUAAAUGGCUUGGAUUGUGGGGGUUGCUGGCUUUUGAGGUCAGCUCCCCUUAAAUGCAUUAGCUGGUGCCGGUAUUGGUGUGAUAAUUAUCUACGCCGUGGAUGUAGCACUGCUUCUAACGACAAUAAAUGACAAUUUGACCUCAAAUCAGGUAGGACUACCCGCUGAACUUAAGCAUAUCAAUAAGCGGAGGCU
rnacentral:misc_RNA from 1 species